CACUGUGACACAAUGCCUGUGAUGUCACAAGAGCCACAUCACAUCACAGCCAGGCUAGCCUCGCCCUUUGUCCCCACCCCAGCUCAUCGACUUAUAAUGGCCUCAGGCAACCAAAUUGGUGACAUCCACAAAAUACAGACCGAACUGGGAGGUCAAGUAGCUGAAAGACUAAAGCAAACACAUUUCCUCUGGAAGUCAGAGCCAAGGCAGCUAAAGAGUCCAUGGCAAAGAGCCUGGAACCAGAGACUCCCAUUACAACCUCUACACUGACUGCACACCCUUUUUGAGGGAGUCCAGCCUCUCUGGGAGCUUCACUCAGUGCAAAAAUGCCAAUAAAUAGUGUAUUUGAGCAAA